rnacentral:rRNA from 1 species
UGGCGCACGGGUGAGUAACGCGUAAGUAAUCUAGCCUGAAGAUCGGAAUAACCCCGGGAAACCGGGGCUAAUACCGGAUAAGUUCUACGAGGUGGAAAUCUUGUAGAGGAAAGGAUAGCCAAUCCUUGGAAGCUUUCGCUUUAGGAUGAGCUUGCGUACCAUUAGCUAGUUGGUGGGGUAAAGGCCUACCAAGGCAGAGAUGGUUAGCUGGUCUGAGAGGACGACCAGCCACACUGGAACUGAGACACGGUCCAGACUCCUACGGGAGGCAGCAGUAGGGAAUUUUGCGCAAUGGGCGAAAGCCUGACGCAGCGACGCCGCGUGAGUGAAGAAGGCCUUCGGGUUGUAAAGCUCUGUCAGAGGGGACGAAUAAGUGGAGUCUAACAGGCUACCAUGAUGACGGUACCCUCAGAGGAAGCACCGGCCAACUCUGUGCCAGCAGCCGCGGUAAUACAGAGGGUGCAAGCGUUAUUCGGAAUCACUGGGCGUAAAGCGCAUGUAGGUGGAUAGGAAAGUUAGUUGUGAAAUCCCGAGGCUCAACUUCGGAAUUGCAAUUAAAACUACCUGUCUUGAGAUUGGGAGAGGGAGAUAGAAUUCCAGGUGUAGAGGUGAAAUUCGUAGAUAUCUGGAGGAAUACCGGAGGCGAAGGCGGUUUCCUGGCCCAAGACUGACACUGAGAUGCGAGAGCGUGGGGAGCAAACAGGAUUAGAUACUCCUGGUAGUCCACGCUGUAAACGAUGUUAACUAGUUGUUUGAGGAAUUGACCCCUUGAGUGACACAGCCCACGCGUUAAGUUAACCGCCUGGGAAGUACGGUCGCAGAUUAAACUCAAGGGAUUGACGGGGGCCCGCACAGCGUGGAUAUGUGGUUCAUUCG